UUUUUGUCACUUGCCAUGCAUAUUGGGUUUUAAUGUAACUAAAACAUGGAAAUAUUCUUUUUGUUUUUUUUUUUGUUUUUUUGUUUUUGUUUUUUUUAUCGAUUCAAUAGAAAUGAAAAGUCUUCAACCAAAAGUUAUCUUGGGCUUAAGUGCGUAAGAGAGUUCACGAGGGAGGCAGUAGAGGAGGGCUCUUAGAACUAUAUAUCGAAAUAAGAAGCCGGAGGUUGAAAUUCAACGGAUUGACUGUGUGACAGGGAAUCGAAAUUAGCAGGUUCUGAUUUGAAGAAGAAGAAGAUGGAUAACAUGUCGGCUGUUUGGUAGGGAUGUGCGAUCAAUCCACCUCACUUAUAAUUUUGAUAUGAACCAGUUCUCGCAUUGAGACGCUUUAUUUGGUCUCGAUCAGGUUUUGACACCACUUGUCUAUCUUCUGGUUCCUUUAAUUCACUUGGUACUAUUCAAUAAAUUACUUACGGUUCAGGUUAUUUCGAUUUUGGAGCUAGCGACAUGUAGACAGGUGGGGUGGUACAUCAAUUUUGAUAUAUAUAGCAUAAUGAGACGUGUACUAGUUUGGAUCAAGAAGGACUGAAAGGUGACUGAUUAGAGUCGUGACCAUACUAAAAGUCUAAAACGUAUCAUAGGUUUUCAAUUAAUGAAUCAUUUAAUUUAGUUUACUUUUUUGAAAGGCUGAUGCUAACCAAGCAACAAUACAAUUAUAUGAUGUGAACUGAGAUAAUGGUGGUUGAACAAUAAAGGAGGCCAACCAUUGAAAAACAGAAACUCCUAAAAUGUUGCUGUGUUUUAGUCUCUGUGAUAGACUUUGGGAUGGAUUUAGACUUUAGAGGAAGUGGUUAUUUCCGGUUCUCUUUUUCUAGCAUACAUGCAUUCAAACCCUCAUACGUUUAAGAUAUUACCAGUUUUUUGCGAUUUAUCCUCGCAUGAUGAUGUAUGUUGGAACAUGUUUGAAAUGAGUCAUUCAGAUCGUUUGAUUUAUCAUUUUUUUAUAGCAUUAUCUUAACACACACGAAUUACACGAAUUUUAAAUAUCAGUUAUUUCUGUCAUGUAAGGUGUACAAUCCAUGUUUAUUUUGGUCUAUAGAGUAUGAUACAUAAAUGGCAUAUGGAGUAUAUUUGACUUAUAGGCUAUGGAAUACAUAAAUGGCAUAUGGAGUAUAUUUGACUUAUAGGCUAUGGAAUACAUAAAUGGCAUAUGGAGUAUAUUUGACUUAUAGGCUAUGGAAUACAUAAAUGGCAUAUGGAGUAUAUUUGACUUAUAGGCUAUGGAAUCUCAUGCAUUGGAUUCUGGUGAGAGGAUUUGGGGGAGCCCAUAUGUGUCCGGAUAAAUAGUUCCUUUCUUAGGAUAUAUAUUGUAAAUAUUGUAAAAUAUAAAUGGGUAGUGUCCCAUAUGUGGGAAGUGUAGUAGGGAUGAGAUUUAAAACCAGAAAUUUGUACCGGAACUGGAAGCGUUAGAACCAGAAUAUGUAGAAUCGGUUUGGGUUUUGGUUAUAAAAAAUAACUUUAUCUCAUCAAUGUUGCUUACAUGUUGGUCAACACAACAC
rnacentral:lncRNA from 1 species